GUGGGGAAUAUUGGGCAAUGGGCGAAAGCCUGACCCAGCAACGCCGCGUGAAGGAAGAAGGCUUUCGGGUUGUAAACUUCUUUUGUCAGGGACGAAAAAAAUGACGGUACCUGACGAAUAAGCCACGGCUAACUACGUGCCAGCAGCCGCGGUAAUACGUAGGAGGCAAGCGUUAUCCGGAUUUACUGGGUGUAAAGGGCGUGUAGGCGGGAAAGCAAGUCAGAUGUGAAAACUAUGGGCUCAACCCAUAGACUGCAUUUGAAACUGUUUUUCUUGAGUACUGGAGAGGCAGAUGGAAUUCCUGGUGUAGCGGUGAAAUGCGUAGAUAUUAGGAGGAACACCAGUGGCGAAGGCGAUCUGCUGGACAGCAACUGACGCUGAGGCGCGAAAGCGUGGGGAGCAAACAGGAUUAGAAACCCCAGUAGUCC
rnacentral:rRNA from 1 species